rnacentral:lncRNA from 1 species
GCUUUAAAGGAUCCUAACUUGAAGAUGAUGCUGUUUGGGCCAUAUGUUCAUUGACAUUUUCUAUUUGUUUAGAUGCCACCUACUGGUACGCAGAGCUUUACAGCAAAGUUUUUCUUCACUUUCUGUACAAGUUCAGUCAAAAAGUUCAUGGAUUGUGUCAUUCAGUUGGUUGGUUAUUACUCAGUAUUCUUGUGUUGUUGUACCAUAUUAGUGUGCAUACCUCGUACAGAUUUAGCCUCAAAACGGUUCCUCUCUGAAAUGAUGCAUUUCUUUCAAUGUGUGUACAACCUAUUGAAGAUCUAAGUUAUUACUGCCUUUAUUUCAUCCACUAAUUGAAACCAAUGUCCUUGCAUCAGUUUUUUAAAUAGGCAAAAAGAAAGAAAUCAGAAGGCACCAAAUUGGAGGAAUAUGUAUGGCAAUCUUCAUAGACUGCUUCAAUAAACUAUAAACAUACUGGCAGAAGUGCAUCAUUGCAGAGAGGGAUUGUUUUGAGGCUGAAUCUGCAUGAGAUAUGUACACCGGUGUGGUAUAGCAACAUAGGAAUAUUGAUUAAUAAUUAACCAACUGAUAACCAAGUCCACAAACUUUUUGACUGAACUGUUAUAUAAAUUCAUAUACAGACUGUCCACAUUUUACAUAUAAGAUCCAUGACUUAAAAGAAAAAUAUAUUGGUCGAAACAGAUAAAGUUAUAAUACAAGAUAUGAGCAUUUUUCUAUUAAUUUUAUCAUUUCUUGUAUGUACAUCGGUUUUGGACUUAUUAAUUUUAGUUAAGCCAGGUUCAGAUCACUCAUGAAAAACUGGAAAUGGGGGACUAAAUUGAAUUUGGAUCCUCCAAGAUGGUAAGUGAUUGUUUUACAACAUGGCCAUCCAAUUGACUGUUAUGCUCAUUCUUUAAUAUAACUAUUUUUAAUGUUAUGUCUUGUGAGAUACUAC